rnacentral:rRNA from 1 species
GACGAACGCUGGCGGCGUGCCUAAUACAUGCAAGUCGAGCGAAGCGGCGGCUGGGUGAGUAACGCGUGGGUAACCUGCCCUUAAGUCUGGGAUACCAUUUGGAACCAGAUGCUAAUACCGGAUACUAAAGGAUGGACCUGCGAUGCAUUAGCUAGUUGGGAAGGUAACGGAUUACCAAGGAGAUGAUGCAUAGCCGAGUUGAGAGACUGAUCGGCCACACUGGAACUGAGACACGGUCCAGACUCCACCGGGAGGCAGCAGUGGGGAAUAUUGCACAAUGGGCGCAAGCCUGAUGCAGCCAUGCCGCGUGUAUGAAGAAGGCCUUCGGGUUGUAAAGUACUUUCAGCGAGGAGGCGUUACUCGCAGAAGAAGCACCGGCUAACUCCGUGCCAGCAGCCGCGGUAAUAC